GUGAAGUCCGGGCCGGCGGGCGGGUUAAUAGGGAGGGGUCAAGCGUUAAUCGGAAUGAGUGGGCGUAAAGCGGGCGCAGGCGGUUUGGUAAGACCGAUGUGAAAUCCCCGGGCUCAACCUGGGAAAUGCAUUGGUGACUGGCAGGCUAGAGUAUGGCAGAGGGGGGUAGAAUUCCACGUGGAGCAGUGAAAUGCGUAGAGAUGUGGAGGAAUACCGAUGGCGAAGGCAGCCCCCUGGGCCAAUACUGACGCUCAUGCACGAAAGCGUGGGGAGCAAACAGGAUUAGAUACCCGGGUAGUC
rnacentral:rRNA from 1 species